AUGGUUGUUUACCAUGUUGUUUGCUUCUUUCCGGUGUUGCUUCUUCGGGUUGGUUCCGAUAAUGCCGUGUUUGUGAGGAUUCGUUCGACUACGUCCGUUUGUCUUCUUCAUGGACUCGUUCUUCUUCCUUGCAGGAUCUCAGGCAAGAUGACCAUACCCUCGAAAUCACUUCUAUCUUUGCUUGCUAGUUGCUCGCUCUUUUGCUAUGCCGCGAUACCUACCACUUGCUAUAUCAUGCCUCCCAUAUUGCCAUGUCAAGCCUCUAACCCACCUUUCCUAGCAAACCGUUGUUUGGCCAUGUUACCUCUUUGCUCAGCCCCUCUUAUAGCGUUGCUAGUUGCAGGUGAAGAUGAAGGUUGUUCCAUGUUGGAACAUGGAUUUUGUUAG
rnacentral:rRNA from 1 species